UACGAAGGGGGCUAGCGUUGUUCGGAAUCACUGGGCGUAAAGCGCACGUAGGCGGAUUUUUAAGUCAGGGGUGAAAUCCUGGAGCUCAACUCCAGAACUGCCUUUGAUACUGAAGAUCUUGAGUUCGGGAGAGGUGAGUGGAACUGCGAGUGUAGAGGUGAAAUUCGUAGAUAUUCGCAAGAACACCAGUGGCGAAGGCGGCUCACUGGCCCGAUACUGACGCUGAGGCACGAAAGCGUGGGGAGCAAACAGG
rnacentral:rRNA from 1 species